UAGUUUCUUCCUUUUUUAUUUAUACCGUAUGGAUGUGUAUAUAGCUCUACGCAAACACACAUAUUUACGUACCUAUACGUAUAUGUACAGUAGAACGUACGAAUGCCUUCCCCCUGAAGUUGCUGAUAGAAAUUGCAUAAGUACGGUGCAACUUGAAGUUCUAUAGUCUAUGCUUAAGCAACUGUCAUAAUAAUGAAUGUCAUCAUUGGUCAUCAGUACGCAAUGUUUAUUUUGAUUAAAUUUUACCACUCUUCACUUUUAUAUUGCAAAUAAUUAUUUACAAUUAAUUCCGAGUGUGAAUUAAUUAUAAAGUGUUGCGAAAAAAGUGCUUUAAAUAUCGCAAGGAAGAAUUACGCAGUUAAUUACAGGAAUAGAAACAUAGAAGCUGCACUGUAACGGGAGCGUCAAAACCAUGAAAUAUGGACUAUAUGGUACGACUUGGAAUGUGAAUCGAGAAAACAUCUUUCCCGGAAUUGACGGAUUUAAUAACAGCCGUGGAGAAGACAGGUGUCGGUGCUAUGGAAAUUGUCGCUAUGGAUAUAAAAUUGUGAAAAAUUGCUCGUUGACUUAGUUUUCAUGCAGUUGGAUUUGAAAUUAGAUGAUUUCAUCAAAGUUUACAACCAUUUCAUCAAAUUUGUUAUGCAAAGCUGCCAAAAAAAAUGCGUUGUCAUUGGUCUUCAAUUAGCGGGUGAAGAACAUAAUACACUGAAACAAUUGGAAUGAGAUCACGGCGAAACGAUUAUUUGAGAAGAAUUUUUUCCUUGAAAUCGCAUAUAACAUUUAAAAAUGCCACAAACAACAACUGUUAAUCGUUAUGUUGCCUACAGCGAUAAUGACGAUAAAAUGUCAAUUUCCAAUUGUCCUCAAACACAAACUCGAAAGAAGAGAAGAGAUGGUGGUGACAAUGCAAAUCUGAUAUCACAACGUCAAAUAUCUCAAGAAAGAAGAAAAUCAGAAAAAAUUCAAUUAUAGACUAAUUAAAUAAUUAAAUAUGAUUAUUUAUUGUUUUCAAAACUUUAAUAAAAUAUUUUCAGUACAA